AAAAAGCAAGGUCCUUGAAUUGAAGGGUGGAGUCCCACUCUACAGUCAGCAAUUUAACAUUGUGCAGGUCAUGCUGCUGGGAAGUGGGAAUCAAUGAUAUUAAGGGAGUGGAUUAUCUCCGGUGAGAUUUUCACUGGAUUUGUGUAUUUUGAUUUUUGAAGUAUUAAAUUUUUUGUAUCAUUAAAUGUUAAAUUUUAUUUUGGUAUAUCUUAAUAUGUGUCUUAAGGACACAUGUUAACAAAACCCUUUAGGAGAAGUAUUAAUCUCAAUGGUUGAGAUUCCCUUUAGGAUCCUCUCCGUGAUAUUUAUCAUGUGGUCCUUAGGAAGAGAAGGUAUGGAAGACGGAAAACCGUAAGAUAGACAUCACAUAUCCCAUCUACAAACAUCAUCAAGGAUGGACAAAAAGAAACGGCUAAGGAUUGACAAUAUUUUCAAACUUUUUUUUGUUGUAAACCGGAUAUCCUCUACGCGCAACUAUAUACACUAAUCUCUCGAGUCUUGUGGGACUCAAAUGGGUGGCAAACUCUCCCUAAGAGUUUUAACACUGCUGGAUGCCCAAACCAAGGAUCCAACCUAGGAUUUUGGUUAAGCUAGAUUUUCAACCUUUAGAUUUAACAUAAAAUACGUACUUAAUUGUCAUGAUGACAUAUUGGGAACCCGUUACAUACAAGUUAACUACUUUGCAAAAAUGGGUAUAACAAAUUAAGUGAAUCUAAGAGGACAAUAUGUUUGUAUAAACAAAUGAAUUAAGAGUUUAUAAGUUGUUUUUAUAAACUAUUUUGGAGAAUUUAUAACUCUUGCAAACAGUCAUACAAGUGCUUAUGUAAAUAGAUAAAUUUAAAUAAGUCAAUACAAACAUACCAUUCUCGAGAUUGCUUUGCCAUUUAGAGAUACACAUUACACACACGCACACGCUUGAACUUAGGCUAAUGUAUGGAACAAGUUGUAGAUUUCACACAAAACGUUAUAGGUUUCACAUUCAAAACAAGUUGCAUCAGUAAUUACUUGCUCUGAUAGCAUUCUGUAUUGGAUUUUGUUUUGCUCAAAGCCACAAAUAGGAUAAGUAUAAGCUGUCUAUAUCAGCUGAAAGUUCUGCUGAAUUGAUAAAGGUUACUAUCAGUUAGAUGCAUGUAUAACCGCGUUUGAAUGUUAGGUGCCGUAUUAAUAUGGUUCUACAUAUAAUUCUUUAAUGAAAAAGAUGAGUUAGUUCUAAAUGUUGUUUUCUACUGCAGUAGCAGUACAGUACUUGAUUUCUCUUUGGGGUUGCAAGGUGCCAACUGACAACUAAGGUGACUACUAUUAUUCUGCAUUUGACAAUCUCAAAUUCAUACUUAUUGUACUAUUGGCAUUUUCUGAAAGCUGGUAUGUGUUAUGUUGCACUUGAUAUUCUUAUGGAUGGUGCUUGUUAAAGAUCGCAAACUUUUCUAAAUAUUGGUUUUGUGGGUAGUCAAUAUAAUAGGACAAUUAUAAUUUAUAACCCAUUCAAUCUAUUAUAAACUGGAUUUUCAAAUUGAAGUUGAAUUGAUUUUUUACUUUUACUGCUAAAAGUAUUUCUGCAAACCAACAACAAAAAUGGUUAAAUUACUUACCAGCUAUUAUCGGCUGUUAACUUCUAUAUCUGAACACUUUACACAUCUCCCUCGCACACACCAUGUUGAACACGUAAUUUAUAACAAGGAACACACUUUUAGUUUGCAGAAUUAAAAACCAUGAGACCAAGUCCACACAAAAACCUUAUUUAUACGAAGAUAAAAGCGAGUAAUGUAAAAAGUUUUUUCAGAUAAAUAAACCUCAAUAGUGUUUAACUACAAUCAACAUAACAACAAAUCUAAUUGUGCAUAUGAAUGUUCACAAUACCAAGAAUAACAUAAAUUAUCCAUAUUAAAGUGCAACUGCACAACUAACCAUCUAAUUGUCGCAGCUUUUCUCCUUUGUAUAUUUUCCUUCAAUGUUUUGAUGACGUGCGAGAAGCACUCUAAGGCCUCAUUAGUCUGAUAUUUCUAGGUGAAAAGGAAGAUAAAGAGAAAAAAUUGCAUUUAUUUGUUACCAUUGAAUCAGUUUUUUGCCUUCAGAGAGUUAUUCUCCUUGAUCCUAGCUCGAUUAUCCAGCUUAACAUAGCGUUUUAGAUCUCCAAAAACAAGCGUUUCGAUAUUCUUCCUACGUAAUUCACUCAACGCAGGGCGUUUAUCAAUCAACUGAGACAACCAGUCAGGGUAUUCUGCAUUAGGCAGGAUUUUUUGAUCUGUUCCAUCCUUGAGAAUGUUGGCACCUACAACUGUACUUGCCUUGACUUCUUUGCUAAGAGUGGAUCCUUUGGGCGAAUCAGAAAGUCCGCCUCCUUUAGAUCCUUUCUUUGCUUUAGCAGUCGCAAAAGUUCGCUGGCAUGCAACAACAACUGCCUCUUUGGUGGUUAGAAUGUAUCUAACAGUCCUAGCACGGUUCAUUAACAUGACUUCUGCAUAGAAAAACUCAGUAUUAAGUCUUGUUUGAAUAAACAACUUAAUUAAGUGUUUAUAACAUAAGUAUUUUGAUAGUUAUGGCAGGGUGUAUAGGAGAAAACGUGGGAAUAAGGCUGCAGAGAAUAAUUCACUCAUAACUAACUUGGGUGGAAAGGGCAUGACUAGUGACAUGUGGCUUAGAAGAGAGAAUGUGGAUCUGAGGAUUAAAGGCAGAAGGAAUGUUCAGUAUCUGUCAGGCAUUGAUUUCAGUAGUCAUCACUACAAGGAGAAAGGAGAGAUUUAGCCUCUCGAAGUGCUUAGCUAUUUUCGGUCAUUUUCUUUCCCAUUUUUACCUAUUGUACUUAUCAGUUUGAUCGCAUUUGAACUCUAGCAUGAUUUUACAGUAAUAAAACCAUGGUA
rnacentral:lncRNA from 1 species